UCUGCAAAAGUGUUUGAUGUUCGCGCACCCUUCCAAGGAAAUAACAUAAAUGCUGACUUCUACUACGACUGGAACAACGGAGCUACUGCCAUUCAGUACACUGUGUAUGGAUUAAUUGCGAAGUCAACCAGAAUUGUCACGUCGUAUCAAAAGAAUGAACGCUACACCAUCUUGGCCGAUGGAACAUGUACCAAGGACGCCCCAACUGGCGUGCUUCUGCCAAACUGCAUCAGUAAC